GGGGGUGUGGCUCAGUGGUAGAACACCUGCCUUGCAUGCACAAAGCCCUGGGUUCAAUCUCCAGCACUGCAA
rnacentral:tRNA from 1 species